rnacentral:rRNA from 1 species
AUGAUUAUGUGGGUGUUGGUGUGUGGCUUCACGAUCUACAGCACGGAGCCGCCCAAAUACUUGCCCCAGUUCUGGGUGAAACUGCCCGCCGUGGAGGGGCUCGACCGGGGCACCGUUGCGUCGCGGGCCCCCGCCUUCAACAUCACCCUCCGCGUCAACAACCCAGCCGGCGAGUCCGGCACUUCAAGGGGCCGGGCCGCGUCGUGGUGGCGUACGCGGGCGUGCCGCUCGCCCACGCUGACCUCGCCGAGUUCACCGUGCCGGGGCAGGUCAUCAGCUCGGUGCCCAUCUUCGCCACCAGCGAUGGCCUGGGGCUGCCCGACGAGCUGUACGACCGCAUGCAGAGCCAGCGGCGGCGGCGAGAGCGGGUGA